CAUCUCCACGACCGGAAGUCCCGUUAUUAUUACUGCUCCACCUCUCGCGAUCUCGUAAUGUCACUUCCCUCUUCCUCUUCCCUCAGAAACCCUUUCCCCUCCUCCUAGUUCGAGCUCUAACAAACCCUAAUCCUCCUCGUAAACCCUCGAUCUCUCACUCUCCUCUCGCUCGGAUCGGAGGAGCCGAAACCCUCGUCGGAGCGAGGAUGGCGUUCAUGCCGGUGCUCGAAGCCGAUCUCCGCGCCCUCUCCGCCGAGGCGCGCCGCAGGUACCCCGCGGUGAAGGACGCCGCGGAGCACGCGAUCUUGAAGUUACGUUCUUUGUCCAGCCCGAGCGAAAUUGCGCAAAAUGAAGAUAUAGUGCGGAUAUUUCUGAUGGCCUGUGAUGUUAAAUCAGUAAAACUGAGUGUCAUUGGGCUCUCUUGCUUGCAAAAGCUCAUAUCACAUGAUGCGGUGGCAUUGUCAGCUCUGACAGAGAUACUUUCCACGUUGAAAGACCAUGCAGAGAUGGCUGAUGAGAGUGUUCAACUCAAAACCUUGCAAACUAUACUGAUCAUAUUUCAAUCCCAUUUACAUCCAGAAAACGAGGAGAACAUGGCACAAGCUCUGGGUAUCUGUCUUCAUUUACUUGAGAGUAAUAGAUCUUUGGACAGUGUUCGCAGCACUGCUGCAGCUACUUUCAGGCAGGCAGUUGCUUUGGUUUUUGACAACGUUGUUCGCUCUGAAUCACUCCCUCCUGGCAAAAUUGGUUCAUCAAGUCUCAUCUCUCGUAGCUCUGUCACUGACAUCGUUUCCCGUAGUUUCAGUCAGUCAGUGUCACUGGAGAGUAACUCAAUCUCGGGGCCGCCGCAGUUGCGGGAAGGUCUUAGCAAACCAGGAAAGCUUGGGCUCCGUCUACUGGAAGACCUGACAGCACUUGCUGCAGGUGGAUCCGCUACCUGGCUGCGACUUCAUUCGCUCCAAAGGACAUUUGCUCUUGAUAUACUUGAGUUCAUUUUGUCCAAUUAUGUUGCAGUCUUCCGAACCUUGUUGUCCUAUGAACAGGUCUUGCGCCACCAAAUAUGUUCGCUUCUUAUGACCUCACUUCGGACUAAUGUGGAGCUUGAUGGUGAAGCUGGGGAGCCAACCUUCCGCCGGUUGGUCCUUCGUUCAGUUGCUCAUGUCAUCAGGCUUUACAGCGCAUCCCUUGUUACUGAAAGUGAGGUCUUUCUUAACGUGUUGGUGAAAGUUACUCGUCUUGAUUUGCCGCUAUGGCAUCGUAUACUUGUUCUUGAAAUUUUGAGGGGCUUUUGUGUAGAAGCGCGUACACUGCGCCUCCUUUUCCAGACUUUUGACAUGGACCCAAAAAACACUAAUGUUGUAGAGAAUAUAGUCAGAGCACUUGCUCGUGUGGUUUCUACUAUUCAGCUGGUUCCAGAUUCAAGUGAAGAGAGUCUCGCAGCUGUUGCAGGAAUGUUUAGCAGCAAAGCUAAAGGUGUUGAAUGGAGCAUGGAUAAUGAUGCGUCAAAUGCCGCUGUUCUGGUUGCCAGUGAAGCCCAUGCUAUCACUUUAGCUGUCGAGGGUCUUUUAGGUGUUGUUUUUACAGUUGCUACUUUGACCGAUGAAGCUGUUGAUUCUGGUGAGCUUGAAUCCCCUAAAUCUGAUGCUGACCAAUCAGCUGAAUGCACUGGAGAAAUGGCUCUUAUCUGUAUAUCAAUGGUAAAUUCAACAUGGUUGACCAUCCUUGAUGCUCUCUCUCUUAUUUUAAUGAGGUCGCAAGGGGAAGCCAUAAUAUUGGAAAUACUGAAAGGAUAUCAGGCAUUUACUCAGGCAUGUGGAGUUCUUCGUGCUGUAGAACCGUUAAACUCUUUUCUGGCAUCUCUGUGCAAAUUUACAAUCAACAUUCCUAAUGAAGGGGAGAAGAGAAGUCCUUUAUUAUCUCCUGGAUCAAAGAAGCCAGAACCUUUACAAGAUCAGCGGGAUAACAUUGUUCUGACACCAAAAAAUGUGCAAGCUCUGAGGACACUUUUUAAUGUGGCCCACCGCUUACAUAAUGUUUUGGGUCCAUCCUGGGUUUUGGUGUUGGAGACCUUGGCUGCGUUGGAUCGAGUCAUCCAUUCUCCACAUGCUUCUACCCAGGAAGUUUCAACUUCUGUUUCAAGGGUUACAAGAGAAUCGUCUGGACAGUACAGUGAUUUCCACAUCUUAUCUUCUCUUAAUUCUCAGUUGUUCGAAAGCUCAGCAAUGAUGCAUGUUUCUGCAGUAAAAUCACUUCUAACUGCAUUACGUCAGUUGUCGAGCCAAUGCUUAUCUGGAAAUUCUCAAUUAUUAGGUCAACACAUUGGAACAGUUGUGUUUUCGGUGGAACGCAUGGCGUCAAUACUUGUUAAUAAUUUGCACAGGGUGGAGCCCAUAUGGGAUCAAGUUGUUUCUCAUCUUCUUGAGCUUGCUGAUUGUGCCAAUGCACAAUUAAGAACCAUGGCUCUGGAUACAUUGGAUCAAUCAAUUUGUGCAGUGCUAGGUUCUGAUCAUUUUCAGGGUGUCAGUAGUUCUUCAUAUCAGCUUCCCAACUUCGAAGUGGCAAAAGAAUGUGAAAUGGGAUUAUUCGAGUCUGCAGUUUUAUCUCCAUUAAUGGUCCUUUAUACUUCUAACAAGAACCUUGACGUCCGUGUUGGGUCGUUGAAAAUUCUCUUGCAUGUUUUAGAGAGACAUGGAGAGAAGUUGUACUAUAGCUGGUCCAGCAUACUUGAAAUGCUGAGGGCGGUUGCUGAUUCAGCAGAGAAGGAUCUUAUCCCACUGGGGUUUCAGAGUGUCCGUGUUAUCAUGAACGAUGGAUUAUCAACCAUACCUGUAAAAUGCCUUGAUGUAUGUAUAGAAGUUACUGGGGAAUAUGGUGCUCAGAAAACAGAGCUAAAUAUAAGUUUGACUGCAAUUAGCCUCCUCUGGACUGCAACUGAUUUCAUGGCCAAGGGAUUAGUUAAAAGUGCUGCUCAAGAAGCUGAGCUAGUGUCUGAUGUGGAACCUGUCAAAGGACAAGAGAAAACAUAUGAAACUUAUGAAGAUGAAGCCAUUGGACAUCCCACUGAUGGAAAUGCUAGUCAAGUUCCUAUGAAAAGUGCUGUUGAUCACAAGAAAUUGCUAUUUUCGGUUUUCUCCAUACUUCAAAGACUUGGCGCAGAUGAGAGGCCUGAGGUGAGGAACUCGGCAAUCCGGACUCUUUUUCAGAUUCUGGGCAGUCAUGGACAGAAAAUUUCCAGAAUCAUGUGGGAGGAUUGCCUUUGGCAAUAUGUUUUCCCUAUCUUGGAACGUGUUUCUCACUUAGCUGCCACCUCAUCCAGAGAUGAGUGGCAGGGAAAGGAACUAGGGACUCGUGGAGGAAAAGCUGUUCACAUGCUUAUACAUCACAGCCGUAAUACAGCACAAAAACAAUGGGAUGAAACAAUUGUAUUGGUUUUAGGUGGAAUAACACGACUGUUGCGAUCCUUUUUCCCUUUUCUUCAGAGUUUGAACAACUUUUCUACAGGCUGGGAGCUUUUGCUCAAUUUUGUCAAGAAUAGCAUCUUGAAUGGUAGCAAAGAAGUUGCUCUUGCUGCAAUAGGCUGUUUACAGACAGUCGUUAUUUCUCAUUGUCCGAAGGGAAAUCUUGAGAUGUCAUAUUUAAAAUCCAUGCUUGAAGUUUAUGAGCUUGUACUUCAGACAUCGCUCAGUUAUAAGAGUAAUUCAGCUGAUAAGGUGAAGCAGGAGAUUCUGCAUGGUCUUGGAGAUUUAUAUGUGCAAGCAAAGUCAAUGUUUGACCCUGACAUGUAUCUGCGACUUCUUGCUGUUCUGAAAUUGACGAUUAGAAGUUUGAGAAGUUCUUGUGAUUCUGAAAUUGAAUCAGGAAAUGUUACCCUGGUUCAGCGCACUGUCUUGGAAAUUAUACCCCUUCUGCGUCCAACCGAUCUUUUACCUUCAAUGUGGUCCCCGCUCCUCCAGGAACUGCUUUGUUGUCUUAUUGGGUUUGAAGCUUCCCCAGAGAAAGUGAAGAAUCAGAUGGAUGGAGACCAAAAUGCGAUGGAAUCAAAUGGUGAUACUAACAAUAAUACUGAAGUGGGACCUUGUUCUCUUCAUUCUGGUCUUGACCCUUCUGAGGAUACUAUUGCGUGUGGCUGGAACCAUCCUUUCGAGGAAAAGCUUGUCCCUAUUAUUGUGGAGCUUUAUUUAGAGGCGCCUGCAAAUGAAAGGUUCAGUGUAUCUCCACGAAUAAUUCAAGGCCUUGGAAGGUGCAUGAGUACGAGAAGAGACAACCCAAAAGGUUCAUUGUGGAGGGUUGCGGUUGAGCGCUUCAACUGUGUUGUUAUUGAUGAUCUGAAAAUAGUAGUUUUGGAUCACAAAGCUGACAAGCAUGCAUAUAAACUAGCUAGGGCACGUUUAUGGAAAGAAGUCGCAGAUGUGUAUGAAAUAUUUCUUGUCGGUUCUUGUGGGCGGGCUUUAUCAACUGAUGCUCCUUCAGCAGAUGCUCUCAAGGCUGAUGAACAAAGGGAGAUGACUCUUCUCAGUGUUCUGGGUGAUGUCCUCAAAGGUCAAAUAGAUGCUCCUGCUGAGGUACUGCAACGGUUGGUGAUGACACUUGAUCGUUGUGCUUCCAGAACAGGCUCUUUACCUCUUGAGAGUGUCGGGCUUAUGCCUUCCCAUUGCAGCAGGUUCUCACUAAGCUGCUUACAGAUGAUAUUCUCUUUAUGCAGUUUUACUUCUACAGAUAGUUGGGAUCCAAAAAGAUCAGAAGUUAGCAAAGUCUCAAUUAUCAUUCUCAUGAGGAGAUGUGAGAUUAUAUUAAACCAGUUCCUAACUGAUGAAAAUGACCUAGGUGAACAUCAAUUGCCUAGCGUAAGAACUGAAGAAACAGUUUUUGUCCUUCAGGAGCUUGCUCGGCUAGUCAUUCAUUCUGAGACAGCUGCUGUUCUUCAAUUACCGCCUUAUCUGAAAGCAGCUCUGGAGAAGAAUGAACAAUGCAGGCGCCCUCAUUUAUUGGUUUUAUAUCCAUCUUUCUGUGAACUCGUUAUAUCAAGAGUUUUCUAAAAUCAAAAGCGAUAAAAGGUUUGGAAUCAAAAUUAAUUCUUGGUACCUAUUUCAAGAUGCACUACAGUUCAAGUAAGGGAAGCCAGAGUAAGGGGGCUUGUGCAAGUGCUUCUUAGACUCAUUGCAUCUGAUCUAGGGCUACAACGUUUGAUGUGAUUUUUAAAAAAAAAUCCCUUCCAUGUAAUCUUUGUAUGCGUAUCCUUUAUUAUGUUUCCUCUAUUUGGUUUAUGUUAUUUAUAUCUUCUAUGAUUCUUUGUAACAUUAUAGAAGAAAUGCAGUGGUUGUUCUUACAGAUCCAAAUCACUUGCAGUGUACUCUGUCCUUUUUCAUCCUGUCCUUUUUCUUUCCGUUCCAUUUUUCCUUAUUAGCGAACCAAAGUUGUAAGGAAUGAGGGAACGGUUUAGUCGCCAGGAAAAAGGUAUUUUCUACUGAAUUCUUUUUUGCCACAUUGAAAGUUAAAUGUUAUGAUUUCUGGUAAUUGUGCAAUCCAAAUGAAAGCUGUUUGUAGAUGUUACCCGUGCUAUGCUAUGUUUUCCAUGGAACAAUCUAGAGAAUGAAAAGCUUGGCGUUGUCUUGUAUCUUUA